rnacentral:rRNA from 1 species
CGCAUCUGUGCAUGCAGCAUAUCAAUAAGCGGAGGAAAAGAAACUAACAAGGAUUCCCCUAGUAACGGCGAGUGAAGCGGGAAGAGCUCAAAUUUGAAAUCUUAAAGGGUUUCCCUUUACGAAUUGUAGUUUAAAGAAGUGUUUUCUGUUGAGGUUUUGGUAAAAGUUCUUUGGAAUAGGACAUCAUAGAGGGUGAGAAUCCCGUAUUUGACCUUUACUUUCAACUUUGUGAUACACUUUCAAAGAGUCGGAUUGUUUGGGAAUGCAGUCCAAAAUGGGUGGUAAAUUUCAUCUAAAGCUAAAUAUUGGCGAGAGACCGAUAGCGAACAAGUACCGUGAGGGAAAGAUGAAAAGAACUUUGAAAAGAGAGUUAAACAGUACGUGAAAUUGUCAAAAGGGAAGCGUUUGACACCAGUGUUGUUUUUCUGAAAAUCAAUUAAAGAACUGUUUAUGCUAAGCUGUUUAGACUUUAUCAGCUAACUGUUUAGUUUUAGGCUUUUCUUUAAUGCACUUUUCAGUUAACAAGUCAACAUCAAUUUCUUUUGCUGUAAAAAAGCUUGAGGAAGGUGGCUUGAGAUUCGUCUUAAGUGUUUAUAGCCUCUUGCCUAUGCAGUCGGAGAGAUUGAGGUCUGCAGCGUAGAUCCUUCGGGGCUAAAUGCAUUUGUGCUAAGUUAUAGCAUUUUAUAGACAACUUGUUGACUAUGAUUUGUCUUGUAGCUUACUCGCUUAUGUUAUUCUACCUACGCUUAGGAUGUUGAACGCGCACAGAGUCUC